GUGUCGAUGAAGAGCGCAGCCAACUGUGUGAAUUAAUGUGAAUCGCAGACUGCUUUGAACAUCGACCUCUUGAACGCACAUUGCGGCCGUAAGCUUGCCUACGGCCACGUCUGGCCGAGGGUCGGCU
rnacentral:rRNA from 1 species